rnacentral:lncRNA from 1 species
UUCCAAGCAGCUGGGACGACAGGCGUCCGCCACUAUGCCCGGCUAAUUUCUUUUGUAUUUUUAGUAGAGAUGGGGUUUCACCGUGUUAGCCAGGAUGGUCUCGAUCUCCUGACCUCGUGAUCCGCCCAUCUCGGCCUCGCAAAGUGCUGGGAUUACAGGCGUGAGCCACCGCGCCUGGCCAGCACACACCUCUGUUUUAAAGUAAAAAGCACAAAACAAAGUAAAUCCAGAAAAGGAUUGCUUUCAUGUGCUUUCUACCCCAUUUCCUCCCUCCCUAUAUAAGAGGUAAUUGUUUUUGUCAGAUUUUGUCUCAUCCUUUCAUUGUUAAUUUUUGAAAAUAUAAGCAAAUACAAUUAUAUAGUUCCUUAACCAAAAGAUAGCACACAAUAAACACAGUUCUGCUCUGCUUGUAGGUUAGAAUUUUGAUUCCUGUUAAAUUGCAACUCUUCUAGGAAAAAUAAGGAGGUACAUGUUAAAUAAAGAGGUGCAUGUUAAACUAUCACUAGUUUCACACUUUGGUAGAAAUUAGUUUCCUUGUCUUUUUUGAGAGCUGGGAAGUGUCUGAAUGAGAUUGAAAAGUUUCCUUUGAGAAUAGGGAUGAAUUCAGGAAUCUCGGAGCGUCACAAGCAAACUUCACUUUUACUUGGCAUCAGAGGAGUGGGAAGGCAGGUGCUGGCAACCUGUUGAGGUGGCAAGGCUGCAUGGAUGAGUGCUCAAGUGCUGGCUUAUACAGUAUAAAUCCAGCUACUUUCAUUGUUAUAAAACUGCUGGCCAUCAGAGGGGGUAAUUAGAGUUUUAUGUUUUAGUUGGACUUCUCAGCUGAAUUAAAUGUGAUAAGGCUGUGCUUAUCACUCUUGUGAAAGUCAUUUCUACAAUAUUUACACAAACUCUAUGAGACUUAAAUCUUUUAUUGAUUUUCUGUUUGUCUCUGAUAAUGUUUCACUGAGAGGAAAUGACUGAGAUCCUGGAAUUCGCGUCUUUAACACAUGACUGUUCCCAAAGUCAUGAGUUGUUGUUGUUGUUGUUGUUGUUAACAAACCUCUUUAUUUCCUACAAUAAGUAUAUUCCAUCUUGCAUUUGCUUUAAUAGAUGAGAGUUUCCAAUGUCAUUAGUGAUUUUUAGCACUUUAUAGUACCAUCAUAUUUUUAUAACCAAGGCCAGGGAGAUGAAAGGGGUAUUGACAAUAUUUGUUGGCAUUGGUUGUUGUCUUUGUAACCAGAACUGCCUCUUUUAUUCUGUGCUUUUUCUAAUUAUUUCUGGUUAUGAUAAUGUUUUUCUUUGGCUUCUAGGGGGAAGUAUGUAAUGAUGUUUGUGACAAAAAAUAAAUGUGAUCAACUGGUAAAAACAGCCUGAUGUUGUGUCUUCAGUGAAUGUUCCCACUAGCCAGGCUGAGCUUAAGGUGUAUGGUCAACUAAACAAUCCAAAAACCAUGUAGCUCCACAAUAAUCAGAAAUUCUGGAUCCAGUAAAACAAGUCUCCUUUAAGACAUGGCUGAAUGCUGGAAGAAAGUAAAGAAAGUUCCUGGAGUCAAAGAUGAAGUGAGAAGGAAAAAUCAGAGCAGUGAGCCACAGACUGGUACAGGUCCGCAACCAUGGGGACCCCUGCAAACUGGAGAUCUUCUCUACCACCACCCUCACACACCCAACCACCCGUAGGUUGGGAGCCCCUGAAAUUCUUGAACUGUCAUGCCAUCCUAUUGACCACACUUGAUUGAAUCAGAAAUAAUCAACCAAGCUGAGUUACUUGGACACUUUCUCCUGGGAAUUUGGAAGCAGA